AUUAAUGGGUGCAAAUCCGUGGAGGGGAGCAGGCUAUGUUGAGCUGGGAGAAGACUAUUUGCGCUCGGGCAGUUAUGCAGGUUCAUUCACACCAGAGAUGCAGCUAAUGACGUUUCUCAAAACUCAUGUUGCAGCUUCUGAUAUACCUGAUAUAUCUCCUCCCGACGCCGAGUUAUCUGCCGCAUAUGCACCACUCACCAAGCAAAAUGCAUUCUUGCUGUUGGACUGGAUUCACAACCUGAAAUAUAAGCAAGGUCUGCCAGCUAAGUUCCUGACAUCCAUUAAGAUGGGAAGCUGGCUCAAAAUUUCCCUCAGUGGCAGUCCUGGAUAUAGGCCACCAUCACAGUCUUUCCUGCUUGCUUCAUCAGAUGAAAAUCUUCUGCAGGAUGAGUCAGUAAUGGUUGAUAUUCCAUUGAUUGACCAAGGAUUUUAUGGAAAUGGCAUCAAUAAUUAUAAGGAGGAGCUCAAAACUGUUGGAGUAAAGUUUGAAUAUGGCGAAGCGUGUGAGUUUAUAGGGAGGCACCUCAUGUCUCUUGCAGCUUCCUCUGCAUUGACUAAAUCCAAUGUGUUUCAAAUACUUAAGUUCAUCAGAUUUUUGAGACUUAGAUGUCUUCCGGCUGAUAAAUUCAUCCAGAGCAUCAAAGAUGGAAGGUGGUUGAAGACUUCCUGUGGUCACAGGUCUCCAGUUGGAUCUGUUUUAUUUGACCAGGAAUGGGAAGCUGCAUCACAAAUAAGUGACAUCCCCUUCAUUGACCAAGAUCACUAUGGCAAGGAAAUCCUUGGUUUCAAAAUGGAACUCCAAUUGCUUGGUGUGCUGGUUGGCUUUAACAAAAAUUACCAGCUUGUUACCGAUCACUUCAAGUCUCAAGCAUGCUCAAAUUGUCCAACAGCCAAGUCUAUUCUUUUGAUAUUUGAAUGCAUGUGGGAUUGCGAGCGCAAUUCAAGAUCAGCCCAUGAGCUUGUGCAUGCGCUUAAAGGUAAUAAAUGCUUGAAGACGAACAUGGGCUACAAGUUUCCUAGUGAAUGUUUCCUGUUUAAUACUGAGUGGGAUUCGCUUCUGAAAGUCUUCCAUAAUGAUUUUCCACUUAUUGAUGAAAACUUCUAUGGAACCAGCAUCUUGUCUUACGAAAAAGAGUUGAGGCAAGCAGGUGUAGUGGUGGAUUUUGAAGCAGCGACCCAGAAAUUUUUAGCUGUUUUCAAGAAGCAUGCAUCCUCGUCUUCUAUUGGAAGAGAACAUGUUCUGUCUUUUCUCAGGUCUUACGGACAGAUUAAUAAGACAAACAAGAAGUUUCCUUCAGAUUUUAAGCACAACAUUUGUGAGGCAAAAUGGCUGCAAACACGGCUUGGUGUUCCUAGAUCACCAAGAGAGUGCAUUCUUUUUGGCCCAGAAUGGGAACCUGUAAGUUCAAUUACUGUGCUUCCUUUCAUUGAUGAUAGUGACAAGUACUAUGGCAAGAGAAUUCAUGAAUAUAGUAAAGAGCUGAGGAGCCUGGGUGUUACCAUCAAGUAUAAAGAUGGGGUGAGGUUUGUGGCUGCAGGUGUCUACUUUCCCCAAGAUCCCAGCACCAUAACUCCUGAAAGUGUGUUCUCUCUGCUGCAGUGCAUCCAGAUAUUAAUGAAAGAUGGUUAUACUUUGACUGAUGCUUUCCGGUCAAAGGUUUCUCAAAGUUGGUUAAAAACCAAUGCUGGGUAUAGGUCUCCAGGCCAAUGUUUGUUGUUUGGCUCUGAGUGGGGUUCUUUCUUACAGAGGAACGAUGGACCUUUCAUUGAUGAAGAAUUCUAUGGCCCCAACAUUACAGCCUACAAGAACGAGCUCAGAGAAAUUGGAGUGACCGUUGAUUUGUUAAAUGGGUGCUCUUUGCUUGCUGGCUAUCUUGAUUUUCAUUCUGAAUUUUCAACCAUUGUUCGAGUCUAUAAUUACUUGAAUGAACACGGCUGGUCGCCUUCCAAUGAUACUCCUAGAAGGAUCUGGAUCCCUAAUGGGAGUGACAGUGGAGAGUGGGUUAGUCCUGAAAAAUGUGUUAUUCAUGACAAGGAUGGUCUCUUCAGUUCACAGCUGAAUGUUUUAGAGAAACACUAUAAGCCGGAAUUAUUCAGCCUUUUCUGCAGAGUCAUGCAAGUUAAAUCCAAUCCUUCUAUUGAUGACUACUGCGAACUUUGGAAUAACUGGGAAAAUUCAAGGGAGCAACUGUCACGUUCGGAGUGUUGUGCUUUCUGGGCCCAUGUUUCAAAGCACUGGAGUAAAAACACACAGAAAACUCUUGCCGACAGCUUGUCAAAACUGCCAGUUGAAUCAGGAUCGGAGAGAAUAAUGCUGUUUGACAAACGUGAUGUUUUCAUUGCAGAUGACCUCCAGCUGAAGUAUCUUUUCCAACAAUCUUCGCCUCACUCAAUUUUUGUGUGGUAUCCCCAGCCAAGCAUCCCUUCCUUGCCCCGGACUAAGCUGCUUGACAUCUACAGGGAAAUUGGUGUUCGUUCUAUCUCUAAAUCUGUACAGAAGGAAGAAAUCUCCAAGUUGGAGGCCAGUGAACUCAAGCAAGUGUCUCAGAAGGAAACUUUGAUCGGAAAAGGCCUGCUGAAACUCAUUCUUGGCUUUCUCGCUGGUCCUUCUAUUGAAAUGGAAGCAGGACAAAGGCUGGAAGCUGUCAAAGGCCUUCUCAAUCUUAAGGUGUUUGAGACGGAGGGGCAAACUGCAGCAAGCUACAGAUUGUCAAUGUCUUCUGGGGAAACCAUGGACGUUGAUGCAAGAGGAAUGAUGCGCUGGGACCGGGAGGAUUCCAAGCUUUUCAUGCAGAAGAUGGAUAUAUCGGGUGGACAUAAAAAUAAAAUCGAAUAUGCUACAAUCUUCGCUGAAGUAAUAUCAGAGGGCGUCUUACAGGAGAAAGAAGACCAUAUAUCUGAUCUCGCCGAACUGAUCAAGUUGGCAUUCUUCCUGGAUUUUGAUGAGGAAGCAGUUGGGUUCUUGAUGAGAUCCAAGAAUCUCCAAGUUUUCUUGGAGGACGAGGAGCUUCUCUCUUCAGCCCUUUCUCUCGACUAGGUAUGCAUUCUAUGCCAUGACCAAUAAAUAGUUGAAAGUGUCAUUUUCCUUAUAUUUCCCCGUUUGAAGUGUGUACUGGUGUGUGCUAUUAGAAUAUUAUAUAAUGUAUAUGAAUCUGGUGUGAAAUGGCUGAUUUAGGCAGCCUAUAUUGUGAUAAUUAUGCCCUUGUGCUUGCCUUUUUUAUUAAAUCGAUUUAAUAUUAAUUGACAUGCAAGAGACAAAAUUAAAUAUUUAAAAGGAGAUGCAUGUGAAGAUCUAAUCUACUCAUAUGUUUUCAAACACUAAAAGUAAAAAAAAAAUUAUAUUGUAAGAGUUCAACUUUAACAUAUCAAAUUAUAAAAAAAUAAAAAAAUUACAAUAUAUCAUCCUUAAAAUAGAUGGUUGCAAUUUUUUUUUAAUCCUCAUUAAUUAUUUUUUAAAUGACUAUAUUAUUUGCUAUAGAGAAUACUCCAUCUCUAUACCUAAAUUUAACACUUGAAGAAAAAUUUUCUUCGGCUUUGAACCCCGUGAAACUCGGUUGCAUUAGAAGUUACAAAUAAAAAUGAUUUCAUUACUUUAAUAAGAUAAUAUGAGAGUAUUUGAUAUAUAAAAUUAAUAAAUGAACAUAGUCUAAUAUUUAAUUUAAUUUAUUAACCAUAUUAUGGAUUUUUUAAUUAAUUUAUUUAAUGUCAAAAAAUCUUUUUUUAGGUCUAAUAAACCCAAAAAAAAAAAAAAUUAAAACAUGUUAGGUAUUGUUUUGUUUAAUUGUUAUUAGAUUAUUAGAAAACAAUUUGGGAGUAGUUAUUAAUCGUUUUCAAAAACAAAAUUAUAUUUGAUAUUUUAAAAAUAGUUCAUUGAUUUUGUUCUCAAUGAAAGUACCAUAAACUUUAACAUAAAAUAUAAUUUUUUUUCUAAAUGUGUUCUAUAUUUUUAAUUGUUUAUUAAGACAUUUGAAAAUAUGUUAAAUUUAUUUUCAAAAUAAUAUGUUAUCAAAAUAAAUUUUGAAAAACGGUUUUGUUUCAAAAGUCUACCAACUAUUUUCUAGGUUGGAAAAUUGGUUUUAGUUAUACAAUAAUAAUUUCCAUACGGAUGCUUGAGAUAUGGAUUUAGUACCAUAUUAAAUUUAUGUAUUUAAAUAUAAAUCAUUGAAUAAAAAUAUAGCAAAAAAAAAGAUAUUUAAAUGUAAAUAUAUUGGACCACGUUAUAAAAAAAUAAAAAAAACAAGAGAACGAGACUAUUACAAGUAUCGAAGUAUGAAAUUCAAGGUGCCCACAUAAACCUUUUUUAUUGAGCACCAUUCUAUAUAAAGAUUUAUUUGAAAACUUAUUUUGAAAAUAGCUUUGUGUUUAAAUGUCUUUAUAGUUGAGAAACAAUAAAUUCAUAUUUCCUUUUUUUUCAACUUCCAUGCAAUACCUAUAGAGUCACUGUGAUUCUUGCAAAUGAGUUGAACUUGAAUCCCAAAAGUGAAUAAAAAAUUGGAUCUACAUUGAAUUGUCUUGUUGAUCUACGUUAAAUUGCCUCAUCAAUUCUUUUGAGUAAAAACUUGAUCUUAGACUUAAUUCAAACAAAAGGAGUACAUUAUGCUAAUGUAUCUUGAAUGAUCCACAUCUCAAGGUAGUUGGCCCAAUAUAUCGGGAUGAUUGGCUUAAUGAGCAUAGGGGUGGUUGACCCAAUAAGCACAUUGAAGAAUUAAUGUGACUAGUCUUGAUGUUUUUAUAGGGAUGGUAAUGGAUAAGUUUUUUUUGUACCAUCUAUGCCCAUGGGACAAAUUUGAAAGAAAUGUAUAUUGAAUGGGCUUUAUUGUUGUUUUUUCUUAAAAAAAAAAAAAAACUAGAGUCAUCAAAGAAGGUUUUCUUACCAAACCUAAUUAUAUAAAAUUAGAUAAAAAUAAUUUCAUUUCAUUUUCUUUUGACAAAAUUAAAAUUAAAAAUUUUGAAAAAUAAUUUAAAAAUUAAAGGAGAUAUGAGAGAGGUAAGCAUGGGAAAUUGCUAGGGUGCAACUUGGGCGGGUUGGAUUGGGCCAACCCAAACCUAACCCUCUAUUUGGACGGGCUUAGAUAGAUGUUUUUAAUAUUUGGGUUGAACUUGUAUUAAGUUUUCUCAAUAUGAACCCAACCCAAACCGGUUUAAUGUUUUUAUACUUGUAUAAUAAUAUUCAUCUCCUUUUCAAAUUUUAAAAAUAUCAAAUUAUAAAUAUAUCAUAUACUUCUCAUUUAUAUAUAUAUAUAUAUAUAUAUAUAUAUAUAUAUAUAAGUUUAUUUUUAUUAUAAAAUAUGAAAUUUUGUACCACUAUGGUAACUUAUGGAUGAUCAUCCAUAAAUAUAUUUUAUAACUCUUUAUAAAAGGAAGAGACUUCUAAUGAAAUUUAAUAGAGUUUUCUAAUACAUUCUAUUAUCUCUUUCUUGAUUUCUUCUUCUCUCAUUUUGUUUUAUAAUAAUUUUUACUUUUUUAUUGUUAUCUUGAAAUUUUGUCUUAUUUUUUAUAUAAAUAUAUAUAAUUUAAAAAAAAAACCAUUAUGAAUAAAUUUUAAAUUAUGCAACCCAACCAAUUCCACUCUUGUCCAAUCAACUUGAGUUUAAUUCUAUUAACCCAAUUUUAAUCCAAGUUUAAAAAAACAAGAUUGAGCACUUCAAGUUAGAAAUCGGAUUAAAUUGAGUUUGGGUUAAUCAUUUCUUAAUUUAAAUUAAACUCAAGUUAACUUUCAACCUAUUCAAGUUGUAACCUUAGAAAUUCUAUACCUAUCUCAAUCUACCAUUUUUUAGUUAAAACUUUUUUUAGGAUGGAAAUAUGAGUAAUUUUAAAUAAUAUAAGUACCCAUCCUCAUCCAUUGAGUUGCUAUCCCUAGUGUUUUUAUAGGAUUGCCACCCUCUAUUUUGAGUAUUUUUAGAAGAUUGUCGGUCUCGUUAUUAGCUCAUAUUUAUAGUUUAAUCCUCUUGGAGACUCCCGUUCUACUUGUACAGUCACUUAUAUGUUUUUUUAUCCAUCUCCCUUUGGAAAAUGAGAGGAAAAGACAAUGCAAGAACUCUAUGGUCCAUAAAGACUCGGCGUGGAGGAAUGGUGACGUCACUUUCUAGUACAAUGGGCCAAACUUUUUUCUCAUUUUCCACUAGGUGGGUGCCUUUUAAAAUCUUUAAAUUUUUAUUUUUUAUUUUUGUUCAUUCUUUAUUAAUUCCUUCUCCACUUUCUAAUUCCUUCGCCCGGAGGUUUCCCCUUUGGUUAAAGUUAAUCAUUAAAGGUAAAAAAAGAUUAAAUAAAAUAACAUUUUCAUUAAUAAUCGCAUUAAAGUGAAUCAUCAAAGUUAAUAUGAUUAAAUAAUAUAAUAUUUUGACUAAUAAUUAAGGAUUUAAUUAAAAAUUAUUCUUGAAAUUAGUUUUAUAUCACUUCUUAAUUGUUUUUAGAAAUAGAAUUACAUUUGAUAUUUGAAAAAUAGUUUUUUUUUUUAUCUUAUUUUUCAUUAAAGUAUUAUUAGCAUAAAAGUUUUUAAAAUAUUACUUAUAUUUUCAAUUAUUACUCAAAACACUUUAAAAGUAAUAAACGAAAAUAUCUUAAAUUUGUUCUCAAAACAAUUCAUCUUUAAAAUAAUUUUUCAAAAAACUAUUUUUUUUUUCAAAAGUCUAUUAAAAUUGUUUUCUAAGUUAGAAAAUUGCUUUCAAUUAUAAAAAUAGAGGUUGUUCAAAAAUGUUUUUGAAAACAAUAUUAAAAAAUAUUUGUAUGAUAAUUUCUAAAACAAAAUUUUGUUUAUAAAUUUGAAAUGUUUUAAUUUAUUUUGUGUAUUUAAAUAUUCCUUAAAAAUAUUUUUUUUAUAUGUAUUGAUUGUUAUUUAAAAAAGUUUUAAAAAACAAGAAAAACCAUUAUAUAUUCUAAAGAAAAUAAAUCAUAUUUUUAUAAUAAUUCUCAAAAACCUAUUUUGGGAUAACCAAUAAAAAAACAAAUUUUGAUUUUUUUUUUUUUGUUAAAAUAGCUCAAAAAUAUAACCUAAAAGGUUGUUUUCAAAAAUAGUUUUAAAAUAUAUCCUUAGCAUAUGGAUUUGGUAUCAUAUCAAAACUCAAAAUAUGAAUCUUUAUGUGUAUGAUUAAAAAUAUAUCACUAAGUAAAAAUAUAAAAAAAAAUGAAAUAUUUAUAUAAAUAUAUAGGACCAAAUUAUCAGGGAAAAAAAACAUUAAAAGUAUAAACAAAUGAAAUUUGUAGUUUUUGUAUAAACAUUUUAGCCUAAGUAGUGUUAUAUAUAUAUAUAUAUAUAUAUAUAUAUAUAUAUAUAUAUAUAUAUAUAUAAAGGCUUAUUUGGUAAUGGCUAAUAAUAAGUUCUAUUUGGAAAACAUUUAUUUAUUUACAAAAAAACAGAUUUGAUCAAUUUUUAUUAUUAUUGAAUAUAUAUAUAUAUAUAUAUAAUAACAAAUUUGAGUUGUUUUAGAAAAACAAUUGAAAAUAUGAUAUUUAAAAAAAUUUUACAUUAUGUAUUAUGUACAGGUGUAUAAUACAUGGAAUAAGCUUUCCAAAUUAAAUUCUUUAAGAAAAUUUUGUUUGUAAAAUAAAUUGAGAAGUAUUUUAUGUAAUAAGAGUUUUUUUUAAAAAAACUCUGUAAAAAUUUAUAUUUAGGAAAAUUGCUAAGUUAUCAAAUAGUUAUUAUAUCAACCACUAAAUCUAAAUUAUUGAUCUUCAUAAUUAAAUUUGAAUGAUUGAAUAAAUGUAACAUGAAAUGGGAUCAUAAUGGAAAAUUAGGAAUCAGGUAUAAAAGAAUAAGCUUCUCAAAUGGAAAUUCAUUCAAUUAUAAAUUUCUCCAUUUUUGGAUAUAUUUUUCAAUCACAAUUCUAUAGUUUUUUAUACGAUUUAUCUUUAUUUAAAAAAUAAAAUAAAACAUGCCUUUUUCUUCACUGUAAUUCGUUGAAUCAAAUUUUUAUAAGAUUUAGUAAUUAUUUUAAAUUAGAAAUUUCAAACAAAAAAAUCGGAUAAUAUAAAAUUAGGUAGAAAUAAAUACAAAUAAAUCUAUUUUACACGUGGUCGUUUAUUAUUGGGCAUAUCGAAAAUAAUCAAAAUACACCACUUUUAAAUCUCACUCCCCACAUGCAAGGACGAUUCCAAAUUUCCAACUUCAUGGAACCACACCUCGUAGACCCGAGCAAGUCUCCUCGUCCGUACGUCUCGCCCCUUUUUUUUCUCUUUCUUUAGUUGAUGUCGAUUCCGUUGAUUGCUUACUUCCUUCACAAGUUUUGCUUCUUUACUAAGUUUCUCACAUUCUAGUCCACACAAAACGACGAUGGAUUGGACAUUCUUUAAAUGCGUCUCUUUUAUAUAUGUAGACACUUCUGUGUGUUGCCAUUCAGUGCCCUUGGCAUCUUUCUACUGAGAGUGAAGACUGAGAGUGCUUUGUGUGAAUCGAGAAGGAGGAGUGGUCGUAAUGGCGACGCCGGAGGAGCAUAUAAAGGAGAUAAGGAGGACGAAGUUCUCGAUUGGAGGAGAGCUGAAUCCGCUGACGGAGGAUCUUCACCAGGCGGUGAAGAAUCUCUCAGCUGAGCUUUACGCUAAGGAUGUUCAUUUCCUCAUGGAACUCAUUCAGGUCUGUGCUUUAUAUGUUUGUCUUGUUGUUUUUAGAGAUGUGAUGAGCACUCUGCGUUGUAUGCAGCCAUUGUUUUGUCAUGUUAUUUAAAAUUUUGAGCGCUUUGAGCGCUGCUCUGUUCCUCUGCUAGAAAACCAAGGAAAAUGACGGUUAUGAGACUUUUGAAUAUUUUGUUUUCUUUAUAUGGUAUUUGUUUCUUGGAGAUGACUAACUAGAGAUUCAUAAUUAUAUGAUAUAUCUUUGAAGUAAAAAUCAACUUAGGAAAGUAUAUGAUAUAUUUAUAAUUUGAUAUUUUUAAAAUUUAAAAAGGAGAUGAAUAUUAUUAUACAAGUAUAAAAACACUAAAUCAGGUUUGGUUUUGGUUCGUAUUGAGAAAACUUUAACACAAGUUCAACCCAAAUAUUAAAUCGGUGCACUAACUUUCUGAAGAAUAUGUUACUUAUCUAUUAUUCUAAUUCGAUCAUUAUGAUCGGAAAGUGAAGUGAUAUGGAUUGAGAAUUAGUUUUGCACUAACUUUUUGAAGAAUAUGUUACUUAUCUAUUAUUCUAAUUCGAUCAUUAUGAUCGGAAAGUGAAGUGAUAUGGAUUGAGAAUUAGUUUUGUUACAUUCAAACUUCGGUUACAUUUUUUUGGUCUUGGAAAAUCUAAAUGUGAAGAAAUCACAUAUUCUAAAUUUUACAUAACAGAAUGCAGAAGAUAAUGACUACCCGGAAGGUGUAAAUCCAUCACUGGAGCUCGUUAUAACUUCACAGGACAUAACUGGCACUGGAGCAUCCGCGACAUUGUUGAUUUUCAACAACGAAAAAGGGUUUUCAGCUAAAAAUAUUGAGUCUAUCUGCAGUGUUGGGAGGUCCACCAAGAAAAACAAUAGGAAGUGUGGCUAUAUUGGAGAGAAAGGUACCUUCAUUUUUUUACUCUUUCGCUCAUAUCUCUCCAUCUUCCAUGCUGUAAAUUUUAAAACGAAACAGAGCAAGCUCUAACUCUCUGUCUGCAAAAAGAAAUUCUUUCUUUUCGAUAAUCCCUAGUCAACGAUAGACUGUCUCCCGAUUGUCUCUGUGAAACAAUCGGAAGACAACAAGGAUUAGAUAAAAUGAGAAAUAGAGGUAUGUGAUAGUAGAAAGUGAUCUAUCUUGGUUCUAUAUUUUUAUGCAUUUCAUUAAUACUGGGAACAAAAGAAACAAGGGGUCUUAUUAUUCUUACAUGUUCAUUAGUAACAUUCCCUUGAUACUUUCCAAGGGUAUCACUCGUAUUUUGCUUAUGCUUAAUGUUUUCUGAUUCUACUAGAAAUCUUAUAAGAACUUGUUUUGUUAUAAGUGGAUUUAUGGGAUUGGUUCUUCAAUGGUCUUGGGUCAGAAUCCUAUUUUGACUCUGCAUCAUCGAUUCCACUAUUAUUAGUGAGCAAUAAUGGAAAAAUUCUUUCAUAUUCAUAGAAAUAAGGGACAUAAUUUACAUGGAUAUAGUAAGUUUCGCUUGGGCUGCUUUAAUGGUAGUCUUUACAUUUUCUCUUUCACUCGUAGUAUGGGGAAGAAGUGGACUUUAGAGGUACUAUUGAUUCAGUUGAGAAUCUUUAACUACAGAUCAAGUAUAUCCUCAAUUCUUAGAACCUCUAGUGUAGAAACACUUUAUUCAUGUCAAAAAGUUAGCUUAAUCAAUUCAGCUAGACACCCCAACUUUGGUCUUUACUAAGUCAACCUUCUCCUUUGCUUAACUUGCUAGCCUAAGAUGUACACGACUUAAAAGCUAAAAUGAAAACUGUGGGCAAGACUUUUGGUCUUUACUAAGUCAACCUUCUCCCUUGCUUAACUUGCUAGCCUAAGAUGCACACGACUUAGAAGUAUUUCUUAUACAACUUGUCGUCUUGCUAAUAUGCAGGAAUUGGGUUCAAGAGUGUAUUUCUAAUCACAGCACAACCUUACAUAUUCAGUAAUGGAUAUCAGAUACGAUUCAAUGAAGAGCCUUGCCCGCACAGCAAUCUUGGGUACAUAGUCCCUGAAUGGGUUCAGUGGAAUCCAACUCUUGAUGACAUAAAGCAAAUAUACGGUUCUCAUGCAGUCCUUCCAACCACUACCAUAAUCUUGCCUCUAAAGCCUGACAAGAUCGGCCCUGUGAAGGAACAGCUCUCAAGUAUUCAACCUGAAGUUCUAUUAUUUCUUUCAAAGAUUAAGCAGUUUUCUGUCAAGAAACAUAAUGAGGAUCCCAGGCUCAAUACGGUGAAUGCUAUAUCUAUUUCAAGUGAAAUUAACUUUGUUAAAAGGAAGAAUAUUGAUGCUGAUUCCUAUAUUCUCCAUCUCUCCACGGAUGGAGCUAAGGAUGUGACUGAAAAAGAAUGCAGCUAUUAUAUGUGGAGGCAGAAGUUCCCUGUCAGGCAGGAAAAUCAAGUAGAAAGAAGACUUGGAGUGGAGGAGUUGGUUAUUACGCUGGCAUUUCCAUUUGGACAGCGACUGAAUAGAGGGAUAAGCUCUCCAGGAGUCUAUGCAUUUCUUCCCACGGAGAUGGUUACAAAUUUUCCUUUCAUUAUUCAGGCAGAUUUUGUUCUUGCAUCAUCCAGGGAAACAAUCCUCUUGGACAACAAAUGGAACCAAGGCAUUCUAGAUUGUGUGCCUUCUGCUUUUCUUAAUGCCUUCAUUUCACUGGUUACAACAUCACAAGAUGUUCCAGUCUCUACACUGACCCCAAUGUUUAAGUUCUUGCCUAUCUACAGCUCUCCUUAUCCAAAGCUCAAUGAUGUGAGGGAGUUGAUCAAAGCAGAACUGCUUAAGAAGAAUAUCGUACCAUGUGAGUCGUAUUCAGACCAGAAGAUCUUUCGUAAACCUUGUGAAGUGGGUAGGUUAAUGCCUUCUUUCUGGAAUAUCCUGAAAAAGGCAAGGAAGCAAGGGGUAAGUUUGCAUUCUCUGUCAUCCCAUGGAAAGUAUAUUCUGAAUUCUUCAUUUGAUACAGAGGAGUACGAUCACAUAUUGAAUUUCCUUGGUGUGGAACCUGUCAAUAGCGAAUGGUAUGCCAAGUGUAUCAAGAGUUCCAAUCUUGUUUUGGGAGUGACAGAGGAUGGUUAUUUGGAGCUUCUACUCUUUAUUGCUGAGAAAUGGAGUUCCUCUUUCUACAGCACCGACAUGAAGAAUGUUCCUCUCCUAAAAUAUGUUGGUCCUGAUGGAAAUGUUGUUUUGUGCGCUACAAGCAAUGUCACAAUGUGGAAUGGUGAAAGUACGAUUUGUAUGUCCCGUGAGUCUCAGCAUAUUUCAUGGUUGAUAGACUGGAACAGGGAAUUUAGACGUGUGACAGAUCGAUAUUUUGUGCCCAAAAGCACACAAGAAGCUAUCAGGUCUUUUUUUAAGAGAGAGACUCUCUUGGAAUGGCUUCAAAAUCAAGUGAAGGUUCGGGCUGUAAGUGUGAAAGACUUUGCAGUCAUUCUUUGUAAUUCUCUUAAGGGUGACCGACAGCUUGCUAUCGCCUAUGUUCACUUCCUUUAUCAUUCCCUCUCGAAGAGUUAUCUACCAAAGGGGGAUGUUGACAAUUUGUGUGGUAUCAUGCCACUUGUAGAUAACUAUGGGCAUGUGAGCACUCAGAGAAAAGGGGUUCUCGUUCCUGCUAACGGAAGCAAAUGGGUGGGAUUAAUGGGUACAAAUCCGUGGAGGGGAGCAGGCUAUGUUGAGCUGGGAGAAGACUAUUUGCGCUCAGGCAGUUAUGCAGGUUUAUUCACAUCAGAGAUGCAACUAAUGACGUUUCUCAAAACUCAUGUUGCAGCUUCUGAUAUACCUCAUAUAUCUCCUCCCGACGCCGAGUUAUCUGCCGCAUAUGCACCACUCACCAAGCAAAAUGCAUUCUUGCUGUUGGACUGGAUUCACAACCUGAAAUAUAAGCAAGGUCUGCCAGCUAAGUUCCUGACAUCCAUUAAGAAGGGAAGCUGGUUCAAAAUUUCCCUCAGUGGCAGUCCUGGAUAUAGGCCACCAUCAGAGUCUUUCCUGCUUGCUUCAUCAGAU
rnacentral:lncRNA from 1 species